rnacentral:rRNA from 1 species
GCUCCAUUAGUGUAGCCUAAAGUUGUUGCAGUUAAAAAGCUCGUAGUUGAAUUUCGGGCCUGCCUGAUCGGUCCGCCUAACGGUGAGCACUGAUUGGGUGGGUCCAGCCUUUGGCUUGCCAGGCUGCUCUUAACUGAGUGGCCUGGACAACCAAACUUUACUUUGAAAAAAUUAGAGUGUUCAAGCAGGCUCACGCUUGA